rnacentral:ncRNA from 1 species
AAGUAAGGACGACCUUACCGCUCUAUUUCCAUAAGGGGACGGCCCCA